rnacentral:rRNA from 1 species
UACGUAGGGGGCAAGCGUUGUCCGGAAUCAUUGGGCGUAAAGCGCGCGUAGGCGGCUCAGUAAGUCCGCUCUGAAAGCUUGGGGCUUAACCCCAAGAGGCGGGCGGAUACUGCUGGGCUCGAGUCCGGAAGAGGCGAGUGGAAUUCCUGGUGUAGCGGUGAAAUGCGCAGAUAUCAGGAGGAACACCGAUGGCGAAGGCAGCUCGCUGGGACGGUACUGACGCUGAUGCGCGAAAGCCAGGGGAGCGAACGGG